UAGAAAUACAGCACUGGUACGGGUACGGAUCCGACGCCUCUCGUAGGAUACUUAGGCUCUCCGUACCCUACUCCUACUCAAAACGUCCCCGACGUACAGAACGGUAACAUGUCUUUCCGCAUAACUGAGCUUN
rnacentral:ribozyme from 1 species